AACGCAAAUUGCGCUUCUCUCCGGAGGAGCACGUCUGUUUGAGCAUCAUUAAGCAACCACUCACAGUGUUAUUCUUUUUUUUCAUUCAUUGAAAUAAAGAGUAACGAUUGUGGAAUCUGAGACUUCUUUUCCUCCAAGUUAUGGAUCUUGAAUUUCAUUGAACUAUCGAAGCUGAUGUUUCUUUGGUUUUUUUUGAUCUCAUUCUCAAUUUAUUAUUUAAAUUCAGAGGAGAGGAAAAAGAAAAACUAACCAUUGUAUUAUCAAACAGUAUGUUUGAACAAUGCAAAUUUGAUCUCAAAUCAGGUGAGACUACCCGCUGAACUUAA
rnacentral:misc_RNA from 1 species